UUCUUGUUGUUAUCGGGUUUAACAAACCUUAUCAAAUUUUUGUUAAAUCCAGUUAAUGCUUACUCCAUUAUUGAAUCGCCAUUACUUGCAAUUUGAAUCGCCAGCUUUGAAUUGAACGCGGGUUGAAUGUUAAGUCCGCCAUUUACAAUGUCGAAGGUCAUGACGCAGCAAUUUAAUUCUACUCGGAUAAUUUAUAUCUUAUCGAGAAAAUGUGUUUUCUCAAUGUUUAUGUGUUGUAUUAUUACUUGUUAGUAUAAAAAUGAACUGUGAUUCCAGUUUAUAUAAGAUUGGUGUUACUCGUAAAUAUCGGUGGAUUAACAACUGACAAAACUUGCUGGACUUAGAUCUACGUAAUUAAUAGACCUUUGAUCAAUAUAGUUUUUACUUAAUUAAUUUUGCCGACUUUCUUUAACCGUGCCGGCUGAAAAGUCUGCAAAAGACCUGCAAUUAUCGGAUGGUCAAUCAAUUAUCAUGUAAUCACUGCUGCUAAUUACCCAGUUAGUGGGCACGCACUAUUUAGACGGUGACAUGUGUAUUGGAAGAGAUGAGAUAAGAUAAACAACGCCCGGGGUAUUCCCUCGAUUAUAGACCGAGUUUCAAAUACUGAAACAUUAAUUUCAAUUAGGAGCACAGCGGGAUUUAUUACCACGGAACUCGAGAUGUUAACUGACUGACGCACGGGUCAAAUUUUCGACGCGUCAAAAUGACGCACAGCAGAAAAAAGGGUUGCGUCAAAAAUGAGUCAUUUUUAAUUUCUUCGCGUCAAAACGCAGGAUUCUGCGUCUAUUGAAAUCUCUGAUUAUUACAGUAUUGUUCCCUUGUUUACCUGUGCCAAGUAAAGAUACUCAACACACUUGAAAUCCAGUAUAAGAAAAAAAGAGUCACACAGAAUCCGUAUUUUUGCGAAAAAAGAGGGUGUUGGAAAACUUACUUAGUAAUAACAAAAGCUUAAUUUUAAUGAUAUGCUUGCAGAGAAUGCUUUGGCACGGACUGCCCCGCUUUUCCUGGAACCAGCUAAGAUUAAAUUGGAGGAAAAUGGUGACCAUGUGAAGAAAGUUAAAAGAAUGAAGAAAACGAUGUCCCCAGAAAAAGACAAGACUGAGUAUAUUCUACUGUGGAGAAUGCAAUAAGGAGUUUGAAGUGGACUGUCCUGUCCAUGGACCCUAUAACUACAUACAGGACAAAGAGGUGUAAGAAGAAGACCCUCUUAAAGCUGAGCAUACCUUUCCAGAUUGCCUUGAAAUCAAAACAUCCAAAAUAGCUGGAGCUGGUCUUGGAGUGUUUUCCAAGGAGGAACUGGAAUCCAGGAUCAUGUUUGGACCGUAUGGGGGAGAUAUCAUCACUGACAACCAUAAGUCACAGUAUUGCUUGCAGAGGAAGAUCUAUAAGGAUGACAAAGGGAGUGACUUUGUGGAUGCCCAGAACAAAACCACCUCUAACUGGAUGAGAUAUGUUAACUGGGCUAUGACGGAGGCAGAUCGGAAUCUUGUAGGAUUGCAGUACAAAGGAGGCAUCUAUUACUGCACAUUGAAGUCAGUUUCACCAGAUGAGGAACUGCUGGUCUGGUACAGAGAUGAAUUAGCCAGAGAACUUGGUCUCAUCAGACCCCAAAACCUGCCGAGCAGUUAUUCAAAUAAAAACACUGGUCACUUUAAGGAACACAUGACUAUACUUACAGUAGAGAGACCGUUCAAGUGUGGGGUGUGUGGUUAUGCUUGCUACGAGAGUGGUGACUUGAAGACACACAUGCGAAGGAUACAUUCAAAAGAGAGACUGUUAUAGUGUGAGCAUUGUGGUUAUGCUUGUAAACAUAGUAGUACAUUAAAGAAACACAUGAGGAUACAUACAGGAGAGAGACUGUACAAAUGUGAGGAGUGUGGUAAAGCAUUUAAACUGAGUGGUUACUUGAAGACACACAUGAGGAUACAUACAGGAGAGAGACCGUACAAAUGUGAGGAUUGUGGUUAUGCUUGUAACCAGAGUAGUGCCUUGAAGACACACAUGAAGAUACAUUCAGGAGAGAGGCUGUACACAUGUGAGGAGUGUGGUUAUGCUUGUGACCACAGUAGUACAUUCAAGAGACACAUGAGGAAACAUACAGGAGAGAGACUGUACAAAUGUGGGGUGUGUGGUAAAGCAUUUAAACACAGUCAUACCUUGAAGAUACAAAGGAGGAUGCAUUCAGGAGAGACUGUACAAAUGUGAGGAGUGUGGCUUUGCUUGUUACCAGAGUAAUACCUUGAAGACACACAUGAGGAUACAUACAGCUACAGGAGAGAGCCUGUACAAAUGUGAGGAGUGUGGUUAUGCAUGUAACCAGAGUUAUUACUUGAAGAAACACACGAGGAUACAUACAGAAGAGAGACUGUAAAAAUGUUAUGUGUGUGGCUAUGAAUGUAACAGGAGUGAAACCUUGAAGACACACAUGAGGAUACAUACAGGAGAGAGACCGUACAAGUGUGAAGAGUGUGGCAAUGCUUGUCACCAGACUUCUGACUUGAAGAAACACGUGAGGAUACAUACAGAAGAGAGGCUGUAAAAAUGUGAGGUGUGUGGUAAAGCUUUUAAACAGAGUGGUAACUUGAAGACACACAUGAGGGUACACACGGAAGAGAGACUGUACAAAUGUGAGGUGUGUAGUAAAGCAUUUAAACGUUGUGGUAACUUGAAAAUACACAUGUUGAUACAUACAGAAGAGAGACUGUACACAUGUGAGGUGUGUUGUAAAGCAUUUAAACACAGUAGUACCUUGAAGACACACAUGAGGAUACAUACAGGAGAGAGACUAUACAAAUGUGAAGAGUGAUGUUUUGCUUGUAACUAGAGUAGUACCUUGAAGACACACAUGAUGAUUCAUACAGGAGACAGACCGUACAAGUGUGAGGUGUGUGGUUAUGAAUGAAACAGGAGUGAAACCUUGAAGAUAAACAUGAUGAUUCAUACAGGAGAGAGACUGUGCAAAUGUGAGGAGUGUGGCUUUGCUUGUAACCAGAGUUCUGACUUGAAGAAACACAUGAUGUUUCAUACAGGAGAGAGACCGUACAAGUGUGAGGUGUGUGGUUAUGAAUGUAAAAGGAGUGAAACAUUGAAGACACACUUGAGAAUACAUACAGGAGAGAUACCGUACAAGUGUGAGGAGUGUGGCUAUGCGUGUAACCAGUGUUCUUACUUAAAGAGACACAUGAUGAAACAUGCAGAAGAGAGACUGUAAAAAUGUGAGGUGUGUGGUAAAGUAUUUAAACAGAGUGGUACCUGGACACUACAUGAAGAUACAUACAGAGGAAGAACCGUUCAGGUGGGAUGUGUGUGCCUUUUCAUUUUAACAUAAUAGUCACUUGAAAAACACUUGAUGAUACAUUCAAGAGAGAAACAAGAGUGAGUUGUGGUUAUGCGUGUAAGAAGAGUGGUCAAUUGAAGACACACACAAGGAUACAUUCACGAGAAAGGCUGUACAAGUGUAAGAAGUGUGUGUUUCUGCACCUAACACGAGUGGUUACUUGUAGAAGCACAUGAGGAUACAUAAUUGAAGAAAUAUCUUAAACAGGAAAAUAUCACAAAUCUCUGAUAAAAGAAGUGUAAGGGCUUUUUGUGAUUUAUAUAAAGUUUUUAUAAACUUGUAUAGUAAGAUAACUAAAUAAUCUUCUCUUAAACGAUAAGCCAUGAAGAUUAAACGUUUUAAGUUCAA